AGAUUUGUUUUCCCAAAUGGAUUUAUUUGCUAUCGGUCCAGUGAGGCUCUGGGAAAGGGAGAAAAGGUUGCAGCUUACCUGCUCAAAUCCCUUGCACACAUGGUCAGAUAAUUCUGACCAAAAUGGAAGAUUUUUCCUCAAAAUCUUUCAUUCCAGAAGAAAGAAGUCUUCACCUGCAGGAAAAUGCAGAAAAGAGCCACGAUUAAUCCAUCUCUUGCUCUGUCUUCAGUCUUCUCAAUAUUGCCCAGAGCUGGAAAACAAGCAGAUGAAGGAAGUGUCUUUUGAGGAAGUUGGAGUGCACAUGGCUGGAACUGUUCAGAGCACUCUAUGUAAGCCAUAA
rnacentral:lncRNA from 1 species